rnacentral:rRNA from 1 species
AGAGUGAACGCUGGCGGUAGGCCUAACACAUGCAAGUCGAACGGCAGCACAGUGGUAGCAAUACCAUGGGUGGCGAGUGGCGGACGGGUGAGGAAUACAUCGGAAUCUACCUUUUCGUGGGGGAUAACGUAGGGAAACUUACGCUAAUACCGCAUACGCCCUUCGGGGGAAAGCCGGGGAUCGGCAAGACCUGGCGCGGAUAGAUGAGCCGAUGUCGGAUUAGCUAGUUGGGUGAGGUAAUGGCUCACCAAGGCGACGAUCCGUAGCUGGUCUGAGAGGAUGAUCAGCCACACUGGAACUGAGACGACGGUCCAGACCUCCUACGGGAGGCAGGCAGUGGGGAAUAGUGGGCAAGUGGCGCAAGCCUGGACUCCGACG